ACUUUACAAUGCGGGCAACCGUGAUAAGGGAACCUCGAGUGCCUGUAUAUGCAGGCUGUCCAGGUGCCUAAAACACACCUGAAGAAAGGGCCGGGCAAGACCGGUGCCAGCCGCCGCGGUAAUACCGGCGGCUCGAGUGGUGGCCACUUUUAUUGGGCUUAAAGCGUUCGUAGCUGGGUUGUUAAGUCUCUUGGGAAAUCCGGCGGCUCAACUGUUGGGCUUUCAGGAGAUACUGUUCGGCUCGAGGCCGGGAGAGGUGAGAGGUACUUCGAGGGGGUAGGGUGAAAUCUUGUAAUCCUUGAAGGACCACCAGUGGCGAAGGCGUCUCACCAGAACGG
rnacentral:rRNA from 1 species